CCGUGCUGAUUGCCUAACUCUGCCGCAGCCCGGGAUCCGUUCGCAGACCAUGUACGGCAGAGACGGGGAAACCAAUUUUCGGCCCGCUUGAGACGGGCCUUGGGGUGAAGCCGCGAAGAUCCUGCUUCUGUUCAGGACGUGCGGCCGGGUGUCUCCCAUCCGAAUCCGACAGCUCACCUCGCAGGCAUCGGGAGAGGCUCC
rnacentral:sRNA from 2 species